ensembl:lncRNA
GUGUGCAAAAGGCAUGAGGAGGUAGGCGAAUAAUUACAAUUUUGCAGAUUAACACUGGAGUGAUAAAUGAUCAGAUGGUCAUGUACAGGUAGAGAUACUGGUGUGCAAAAGAGCAGAAAAGUAAAUAAAUAAAAACAGUAUGGGGAUGAGGUAGGUAAAAAUGGGUGGGCUAUUUACCGAUAGACUAUGUACAGCUGCAGCUAUCGGUUAGCUGCUCAGAUAGCAGAUGUUUGAAGUUGGUGAGGGAGAUAAAAGUCUCCAACUUCAGCGAUUUUUGCAAUUCGUUCCAGUCACAGGCAGCAGAGAACUGGAACGAAAGGCGGCCAAAUGAGGUGUUGGCUUUAGGGAUGAUCAGUGAGAUACACCUGCUGGAGCGUAGCAGGUGAGUAGGUGUGUCCAAACUUUUGACUGAUACUGUACAUACAUACAUACAUGCCAGGUCACAGUUGUAAAUGAGAACUUGUUCUCAACUUGCCUACCUGGUUAAAUAAAGGUAAAAUAAAUACAUAUAUACAUACAUACACACUGUACAAAUACACAUACAUACAUAUACAGAUAAAUAAAUACAGAUAAAAGAAACAGAAGGCAUUGAACCCAGUCUGGCACAAAGAGAAGAUUCAUGAAGGAGACAAGCCUAUACACAAUCUAUAUAUACACGUGCCAUUUACCACAUAGAAGCUAAAUAUUUGUAUAAUUCAAUUAUAGCUAGCCCUUUUUCUUUUAUUCCAGGCUUUAAUUAUCUAAAUAUUCUGCAAACGGAUAUGCACAGUGGACAAAAAACAUUUCAGUUUCUCCUCAUCGCUCAGCCACAUAAUGCUAGGGUAUAUCUAGUGUGCUGUCUGGAAUAAGAGCGAGCGUAUAUCGUGGUAGAAUGGGCAAUAGAGGAUAAAAUUAGUUUCAUUCUCUAUUUCUUCAAGGUCACAAUAGUGGAAUAGUCUUUCCUCUUCCAUUUCACCACAAUACUGACCUGUUUCAAUACGCAGAGGCAAAAUCCCUGAUCUUACCUGUUUCAAUAUGCAGAGGCAAAAUCCCUGAUCUUACCUGUUUCAAUAUGCAGAGGCAAAAUCCCUGAUCUUACCUGUUUCAAUACGCAGAGGCAAUAUCUCUGAUCUUACCUGUUUCAAUAUGCAGAGGCAAAAUCCCUGAUCUUACCUGUUUCAAUACGCAGAGGCAAUAUCUCUGAUCUUACCUGUUUCAAUACUCAGAGGCAAUAUCCCUGAUCUUACCUGUGUACAUAGAGAUCUCUUGAGAACUCCCCCUUAAUUAAGCAAAAGGUUCUCAAUUUGGGUUUAUGGUUAAUCUCCACCACCCAUUCUUUUUUCAUAUUGCAUCAACAGUUGUUUUUUAAUAAUAUCUGUCUCCCUUAAUUUGGUUUUCAUCCAGAUGUUCACAGAUAUAACUUUUAUUUUUGGAUUGACCUCUAUACUAUGUUGGGACAGCACUGCAAACUCCUGUCCACAUUGAAUGUCUUUCUGUCUGUCGUUCUUGAGUGUUCGUUCUGUGACUUCCUCUGAUACCUCCACGACCAGAACAGUGUGUAAAAGAGAGGUUGCGGCGCGGUUCAUUUUAUGGACGGAGUUUGUUCAGCAGAAUCCCAGGCAGCGUCCUCUUUUAAUUGGCUUCAAUUUAAAUGUAUGUUUAUAGCAGACGGUGUGAUAACAGGAAAAUGUAACCAGAAGAUUGUGUGUCUCUGUGUACAAGCAUUAGCCCUCCCUCCCUCCCUUCCUUCCUUCCUUCACUCCUUUCUAUCACUUCUCUCUCCCUAACUCCCC